rnacentral:misc_RNA from 1 species
UUGAUUUAUUUGUUUUUUGGACUCAGAAAUACAAGUAAAGACAAUGGUUUAGACCCUCGACGGACUAGUCCGCCGAAGCAACGCGGUAUGUUCACAGGGGUUUGGGAGCUGUAAACUCGGUAAUGAUCCCUCCGCUGGUUCACCAACGGAGA